GAAAGCCAGAGCCCAGAGGAACUCACCUUGUGACAACAGUGAUUAUGUUCCCUUCAUCAUCCAAGGCAUAAACACUCAUUCAUUCAAGAAAUAUGUACUGAGGGGCUACAACAUGCAGUGGCUUUGCUAAGCAGAGACUGGGUCACACCAGGAAAGGAAGGAGCCCUCCAAGGAUGGUGGCAUCAGCAUGCAGGAUCUUGGCUCCCUGACCAGGGAUAGAACCCAUGCCCCCUGCAGUG